rnacentral:rRNA from 1 species
AGUGAACGCUGGCGGUAGGCCUAACACAUGCAAGUCGAACGGCAGCACAGUAAGAGCUUGCUCUUACGGGUGGCGAGUGGCGGACGGGUGAGGAAUACAUCGGAAUCUACUUUUUCGUGGGGGAUAACGUAGGGAAACUUACGCUAAUACCGCAUACGACCUACGGGUGAAAGCAGGGGAUCUUCGGACCUUGCGCGAUUGAAUGAGCCGAUGUCGGAUUAGCUAGUUGGCGGGGUAAAGGCCCACCAAGGCGACGAUCCGUAGCUGGUCUGAGAGGAUGAUGAGUCACACUGGAGCUGAGACACGGUCCAGACUCCUGCGGGAGGCAGCGGUGUGGAAUAUUGGACAGUGGGCGCAAGCCUGAUCCAGCCAUACCGCGUGGGUGAUGGAGGCCUUCGGGUUGUAAAGCCCUUUUGUUAGGAAAGAAAAGCAGCAGGUUAAUACCCCGCUGUUCUGACGGUACCCAAAGAAUAAGCACCGGCUAACUUCGUG